UACGUAGGGUGCGAGCGUUAAUCGGAUUUACUGGGCGUAAAGAGCUCGUAGGCGGUAGUUCAAGUCAGGUGUGAAAUCCGACGGCUUAACCGGAGGACUGCACCUGAUACUGGGCUGCUAGAGGUAAGGAGAGGAAGGUGGAAUUCUCGGUGUAGCGGUGAAAUGCGUAGAUAUUGGAAGGAAUACCGGUGGCGAAGGCGGCCACCUGGUCAGAAACUGACGCUGAGGUACGAAAGCGUGGGGAGCAAACAGG
rnacentral:rRNA from 1 species